AUUUAACUGACGAAUUCAAAAUAAGACGAAAUACGUGUCCUGAAC
rfam:Schistosoma haematobium scaffold322_15, whole genome shotgun sequence.